rnacentral:tRNA from 1 species
GGAGUGGUGGCAGAGUGGUCGAUUGCGGCGGUCUUGAAAACCGUUGAACCUUAGCGGGUUCCGUGGGUUCGAAUCCCACCCGCUCCGCCA